UCGUGGAGCAAAGGUAGUGGGAGUCGAGGAGGACCACGUGUUCGUGGCAUCCCAGGUGGCGGCAAGGUGAGUUCCGAGUAUCUGUAGACUUUUACUAUCGGAGGUGGUGAUAAAAUAGUUUACGAACGCACUUUGUUCUGCGAGGUUAUGGUCGCUUACGUGUCCGGACAGAAGUCGUAAUACAAGGUGUGUAAUAGGCAUGGGACUCCUGUAAGUGGAAAACGUGAGGCAAUAGAAAGAGAAAGAAUAUGAGACGCCCAUCUUUAUCCUUGUCUAACGUUGCGCGCGCAUCAAGCUGAAUGGAGUUGAGUGGGGAGGUAUCGUUGAGACUACUGAGGGGGUUUUUCUUUAACCUACAAUAUGGUGUUGUAGCUAAGAAUUUAUUAAUCUUGCAUAUAAUUUUAUGCAUUUAUUCGGAUUCAGUCAGAUAAAUAAAGAAGAGGAGAAAUUAAAUUGACGCGCUGUGACACAAUCAUAAAGAAAAAUGACAAGAACGUGUAUUGUGUGUAAAAAGCAACCUAUUCCGUUUAAUAUAUCUCGAAGUUUUCACAAUUUUCCCGUUAAUGUUGAAUAAAAAAAGAAGUGGAUGGAAGCUAUUGGUGUGACAACAGUUUGUAAGUCAGCCAGUAUAUGUAGCGACCACUUCUAUGAAGAAUCAUUUUAUCAGACUGAUGGAUAUACAACUUUGAGACGUUUAAUAUGAACUGCUGUCCCUUUUAAUCGAAACACUAAUCAAUUAUCUUUACCAAUUAACAACGUAUCUACUCAAGCACUUGGUGACAUAACGAAUCAUCAAGAUAUGACAAUAAGUGACGAAAAUACAUUUUCAACAAGUACGGAUACUAAUAACGGAGACAACUUUGAAACACAUGAUAAUUUAAGUCCCAGAAACAAUAAUAAAAGAAAAUCAUCUGUUGUCGACAUUCACCCAAAAAAAAUUUGUUUUGUGGUCGGAAGUCAGCUAGAGUCUUUUUCAAGAGAGCACUUCGCUUCAGAUGAAGCUUGGGAGCGAUUUGUAAGAGUUAUGGCUUCUGAAAAAUUGAAGAAAUCUGCUUCCCAUAUGAAGUUAUUUAGGAAAGAAAAA